CGAAAUUUUGCCAUAUUUGACUUUUUCUAUUAUUAUGACGGUAUAGGACUGACAUCAGUUUGUGAUUGAAAACCGUUGAGUACAAUAACCUCUGAAGGCGACCUGUUCUACAACAGCUUUGUUUCAAUUGAACAAUGACAGACUUGCAAAAAUUUCUUUUUUGGGGCGGGGGGAGCGAACUCCUAACGGUAUAGUCUAGUACAGGAACGGG